rnacentral:lncRNA from 1 species
GGCGGCCCAUUCCCGCCAGGCGCCCGGCAUGGCCCCUGCGAGCGGACGGCGACCUCUCGGGGUUCCGGAGGCCACGGGCCGGGAACGAGGCGCGCGCGCCGCACCAGCCGGGCUGCCCGGCGCGGACUGGAGAGGGGGCGGGAAGGCGACCGAGGAGGGGGCGACGCCGGCAGCAUCCCGCCCCGCGCGUCCCGCGCUCCCCUCUCUCCCUCCUUCCCCGCUGCCCGCCGCUCCUCGGCCGCCGGGAGCUCGCCUGCGGAAAGGCACCGGCGCCGGGCGUGCGGGCGGGCGCCGGCGGGGCGUGGGCGCGGGCAGCGCGGAGCACCCACCCGGCCCGGGCAUGGCCGCGGGCGGCGCGCUGGCUCCUCCCGGCGCUGGCCUGCAGGGGGCGUCGGCGCGUCCGCGCCCCAUGGGGGCCUAGCAGCCAGCCUCGGGGCGCAGGGGAGGGGCCGGGCGGAGGACCCGGACCGAGCGGGUUUCCUCGGCGCCUCUCUGAAAGGGUCCUGGUGCUCAGCCGCACGACUGAGACAGUGUUUUCACACUUGUCACCAACGAGGGGCCGCGAGGCGUCGCCGUCGGCUCUCGGGUCUCCGCGGCUGGGGGAGCGUGCCUCCUGGCUGGCUGGCUUUGCUUGACUCAAUCAUCGCUACGGGGUUGGAAGCGGGAGCUUUGCUUUUCUCUCCCCGCAGAGCUGCACAAAGCCUCGGAAAGUUUCCUACUUGGGCGACGAAGGCGGAUGAGCCUCGCCUCCUGGCUGGGGCGGACCCAAAAGUACCCGAAGUCUCGCCGGCGAGUUGCGCCCUCGGCUGUCCCAGCAGUCACCCUCAAACGCACAUCCCUUCCCUGGCCGAGGGGAACCGAGGCCGCCUAAGAACCGGCCCCGCCGGGCCCUCUGCUGGGGGCCCGGGGAGCCCUGGGAAUCCGCUGCCGGCGCCGCGCCCGGGCGCCCGGCCCCUGCCCAGCCCGCGGGCCGCGCCCGCCUACCCGCUCGCUGGAGCUUUGCGCCCUCAGCCUCGGGGACCUGCCCACCCUACAGCUUCGCUGGAGAAGGAAAAUGAGAGCUACGUUCCCAGAGGAACAGAGUUCGCGUCCUCGCAGGGCACCGAGGGGGACUUCAUCCGGCCCAGGGGCUCUGCAGAUACUCCCCGGGGGGUUGGGGGGGCUCGGGCCAACAGUGACUUUGGAGUAGACCUGAUUUUGUGGCACCUCCAACUCCGGAGUCCACGUCCCCUUGUCACUCAAGAAGUUCAGCUGAGCUUUGCGUGGUGA